AUGAAUCUGUGGACAUGACUAAAACUUUUUCAGCACAGUCACAUUCAUCUUUUCUGUCACUUGUAUCUGGACUGACAGACACUAAAGUCAGUUCAGUCAGGAGAGACUCCAUUUAAGAGAGAAAUACAUUUAUUGACAUGGUGCACAAUAAAGUUUAGAAAUGUCAAGAGGUGAGUAGAGCCUGAAAAACAGGAGGAAGUGUUUGAGGAAUAUUUAGGAUAACACUCACCCUGGGGUGUCGAACUCACAAGACAGGAGACAGGAUGGAUCUUUAACCAUUUAGUGACUAAUAAGCAAACUCUUGGAUAAAAACAUUGUUUAGUCUUAAUUAGAUUAUUAGAUGAUUAAAAUCAUCACUGUGUCUUUAGAGGUUACCAUAAAACCCAAAUGUUCAAAUGAUGUCAAAUCAGAAU